rnacentral:lncRNA from 1 species
AUAGUAUUGGGCAUCCUUCUUAUUUGUAUUAUUUGAUGCUGAGUGCAGGCAUUUUCUGUGUGUCAGGGUAAGCCAAUGAUCUCAGUAGGGCUUGAUGAUGCCAUUGGAGAGUCUGACAAGAUCAAAGCAUAAAUGGGAGAGAAGAGGAAAAGAAGGAAAGAAAUGGAGCCACAUAUCUGCUGGGCAAGAGGAAAAGUGCAAAAUUUCCAGGGGCAGGCUGCUGAAGGCCUGCCAGACGGGACGGAAGGAAAAGGUUGUUGAAGUUAUGAAUGUCUGUUUCACAGAACUAAAUAUGAACAGCUUUAUUAAGGACAUGGCUCAUCCCAGGGUAAAGAUGGCAACAGAUGAUAUAGAGAAGAUUACACCAAACAAACCUGCUGCAAACUGCAUUUACCCUUAGGAGAUGAUAAACUAAAAAUGAACGGAAGGGAUAAUGAAUGAAUGUUAAGAGCUAAAAACUAUAAAACUCUUAGAAGAAAAUAUAGCAGUAAAUCAACAAAACCUUGGAUUAUGCAACAGUUUCUCAGAUAUCUCAUCAAAACACAAGUGACAAAAUAAAAAAAAUAGAUAAAUUGGACUUCAUCAAAGUAAAACUUUUGCAUUCCAAAGAAUACCAUCAAGAAAGUAAAAAGACAACCCACAGAAUAGAAGAAAAUAUUUGCAAAUCAUAUAUCUUAAGAGAAUUGUAGCCAGAAUAUAAAAACUCUCACAACUCAACAAUAAAAAAACAAAUAACUCAAUUUUGAAAGUGGACAAAGGGAUAGACCUACAAAUGCUCAAUAAACACAUGAAAAGAUACUCAGUAUCAUUAGCCAUCAGGGAAAUGCCAAUCAAAACCACAAUAGAUACCACUUUAUGCCCACUAGAAUGGCUAUAAUAAGAAAGAUAGAUAAUACUAAAUUUUGUCAAAGAUUUGGAGAAAUCAAACCCUUACACAUUGUUGAUGAGAAUGUAAAAUGGUACAAAAUUUUUGGAAAACAAUCUGGCAGUUCUUCAGAGUUAAAACAAAAAGUUACCUUGUGACCUAGCAAUCCCAUUUGAAGAGAGUUAAAAACAUACAUUCCAACAAAAGCUUGUACAUGAAUGUUUAUAGCAACAUUAUUCAUUAUGGCCAAAAAGUGGAAACAACCCAAAUAAAUGUUCCUCAGCUGAUGAGUGGGUAAAUAAACAUGGUAUGAAC